AGAUAAAAGAUAUUGAGUUUAAUCAUUAAACAAUAUUAGAUUUAAAAAUAAAUGUAUUAAAAAUAGAGAAAUAUUAAAUAAUUUAAUGAAACAAAACGCAGCGUUGGACCAAGAUGGAACAAAAGCAAAAUAUGGGGCUAAAUUGGAAGGAGUGAAAGAAACCGAUUUAAAUACAUCAAAAAAAGAUGGAUCGAUCGCGCAAAUAUCCCUCUCCGUGCCAGAACAUGCGGAUCUAGCUGCAUUCGCGUCGGAUCAUCGGGUCAAUACCAGUACGACACCGUUUUGGAGCCACUGAAUCCGGCUUCAAACGGUGUCGUUUUAUACACUACAUAUAACCUGCUUCAAAAUGUAAUUGGAAACCCUACUUCAUUUCCGGAAACAGCAGCCGCAAAGACUGCCUCAACCUCUCCUCUGUUCUUUAUGCCGAAACUCUCCUUUUUCAACUUUGAUUUAGACGAAGUGAACCAAGAGGUCGACGUCGUGCCUACGUUGGUAAGGAUUUCCUUUCUCCCUUUUAUUUUUUUUUUGUUUGGUGUACAAAAGAAACAAAGAAUCAAAGAAAUCAAAAAGAAAAGAGAAAAAAUGACGGAAAAAAUCACCUUAAAAAAAACUCUUUGCUUCGAUUUUCCGUUCGUAUUCAAUAUCCCAAAAAAAGCCCCCUCUUAGAUUUUACAAAUCGGCUUUCUAUAGCCGAAUCUAGGAUUACAAAAUAAUAUUUCUCUAUUUUCCCUAUUCUCGUGUAUUCUGUUACUGCUGAUUUGUUGUGCUUGCAGUUACAGCUAGCUGGAGCAAUGGACGCUGGCGCACACGCGCAGAGGCACAACACGCGUGAAGAACCCCUGGUUUCAGCCGCAAUGUAAAUGAUUCCAGAAACUGUAGGAGUUUCUGGAAACCCGAAUUUAGGCCUCCAACAUUGGGCUAGGAUAGGCUGAUUUGGAUUUUAGGUUUAGUGGGCUGUUUUUGGGUAUUGGGUUUUUUCGGGUUUGGGCUUAGUUAGUUGGGUUUUGUAAUCGGGUUUGGGAAAUGUAUUUUGGGUUUGGGUAAAUUAAUUGGGCCUGUUGUUGUAAUAAAACUGGACAUUUAUUUUUUUAUUUUGUUUUAAUUUGGUGUUUAUUGAUCUAUGGUUUUGGGCCCAGGCUAAAAUUGAGUAUUACAAUACUUAUUUAAAAAGAUGGUUGCAGUUUAAUUUAUUUGAUUUAUAUGCAUGUUGUUAAUUUUAGGUGGCAAAUAGGUUAACGAAAAUUCCAAAAAAAAGUGGGCUAAGAACUAACCACUCACUUUACACUAACAAUUUAGUUAGAGGUUAUCUAAGAUUAGUUCCAAGUAACAAUGCCUAGUUGAUGACCAUGAUAGCCAAGUACAAAGAUGGUAACUAUAGUAUACCACAAAAAGGCAUGUUAGUGGCACUUGUGCUUUUGAAGCACUUGGCUUAAAUUUGGGAUGCAUUCUUGUCAGUCAUUUUCUAUUAAGAUUGACCCAUCAUAGGUUAUUAAAUACCUUUAAUUGAAGGUGACCCUUAACUACUAUUUUUGAAUUGAGGUUGAAUAAUUAAAAUUUAUUAAAAUUUAGCUGAAAGGUGACUCUUAACCACUAUUUUAUUGGAGUUGGAGAGUGUAAGUGGAUUUAUUGUAAAAUUCAUUUAUAUUUUUAACUUUCGAUAAAAAUAAAUCUACUAUUAGAAUUAAGAUAUUAUAUUUUCAUCAAAAAGAAAAAAAAUAUUCUAAUUAAAAUGCUAUCUUAUGCUUUUGUUUUUUUAUACUAUUAUUAAGUAUAAAAAUUCACAAUUGAACCCUAAAGUUGUUGAAUUUUAUCACUUUGAUACUUGAAAAAAAAUUCUUUACAGAAGUGAAACCUAAAAUUGCCCACUUUUUAGCAUGGUUAACUAAAUGUGUUCAUGGUUAACAAAAAAUUCUCUCCAUCUUUUGUACUUUCCUUUAUUAUAAUGAAAUAUCCUUUUGCCUGUAAUUUUUUAUCCUCAUUUGAGGAGUUUUUCCAUGUAAAUUUUUCGUGUUCAAUCUUUUAUAUUUUACUUUAUAUACUUAUUCAUUGUAUACAUGGGUUUUAUUCCCAACAAACUGGUAUUAGAACUAGUUUAAUUUUCGUAAUCAACCCGUUCAGAGAUGACAAAUUUAAGGUUUUAUAUCAACAAGUUCAACGACAUCACAAAUUUCAAUCUGUGGCAAGUUUGCAUUUCAACAAUAUUGAUCUAAAGAGAUCUUGAGAGGAUCCUUGUAGACAAGGAGUAGUCGGAAUGAGAUAGGUUAGACAGAAAGACUCUAUCCACAAUUUAAUUAUGUUUAACAAAUAAUGUGUUAUAGGAGGUUUUGAAUGAGAAAACAACAUUUACAUUAUGGAAGAAACUCGAAGCCUUGUACAUGACGAAAUCCUUAGCCAAAAGGUUUGUGUUACAACAACGUCUCUACAUGUUCAAAAAGGCCGAAUGUGAGUCCAUUAGAGCUUAUAUUAGUGAUCUUAAUACCCUUUUUCUUGACUUGAAUAAUCUCAAAGCAGAGAUUAGUGACGAUGAUCAAGCUAUGUUGUUGCUAUGCUCUUUGCCCUAUUUUUAUAAAAAUUUUAGGGAACUCUGAUAUCUGGGAGAAAGAACCUCUCAUUCGAUGAUGUGAAGUAGAAUCUAAUGAGUGAGGACAAACUCAACAACAAGUUAGAUCUGAAUAAAAACUCAGACGAGCAAGCCUCAGUUCUAGUUGAAGAGGCAAACAACAAUCCAAAAAUUCAGAUUGAAACAGGUGUAGAGUGAUAUCCAAAUCCAUGAACCGUGAAAAAUAUUGUAGCUAUUGCGAAAAGAUGGGCCACAUUAAGGUAGAAUAUUGGAAACUUCAAAAUAAAAUUAAAAGGGAUGCAGAAAACGACGAGAGAGAUAAGCAGAAAGCCAAAAUUGUUGAUGUUAGUGUAGCCGAAGAUAGAGGUGAUGAUUUCUUAUUGGUGUCAACAAGUGAAAACUCCAAGCUUACUUCUGAAUGGAUCUUAGAUUUAAGGUGUUCUUAACAUGUGUCCCAACAGGGAAUGAUUCUCUACCUACAGUUUAGUUGAAGGUGGAGUUGUGCUGAUGGGGAAUAAUUCUCCAUGUAAGAUAACUGGCAUAGGAACUAUACAAAUCAGGAUGUACGAAAAAAUAAUUUAGACAUUGCCAGAAGUUAGGUAUGUGCUCGACUUAAAGAAAAUUCUCAUAUCAUUGGGAAUUUUUUAUUCUAACGGUUGCAGGAUAAUCAUUGAAUCAAAUGGCUUAAAAGUCUCUUGUGGAGCUCUUGUUGUAAUAAGAGGAUAGAAAAAGGGCAACCUAUACAUUCUGAAAGGGUCAACGGUUAUUGGUGUAACUACAAUUACCGAAGAAGAGACGAAAUCAUCAUCACAUUGCGGCGAGAACCAACCUGAUGUCUCGACGAUGUGACGUGAUUCUUUCUCCACUGAUUUUGAUUCAACCAAACUUUAGUAUAUAUGACUAGGUCAUAUGAGUGAGAAAGGUAUGAUAGUCUUGUGCAACGAGGUGAUCUAUCGUAAAUCGGUGUAGCAAAUUAAACUAAUUUUUGCACUUUAGGAAUUAAAAAUAAGCAUUAUCAUUAGGUUUUAAUUAUGUUAUCGUAAGUUUUAUUAAAAUUAAUAAAAUGUGCAAAUUGAGUCUUUUAUUGACUUUACGGGCUAAAUGAGGCUUAAGGGUGAACUAAUGAACUUUGUAAGUGUGCAGGAGACCAUUAGAAGGCAUACUAAAUCGAUACUGAUCAUUAUGUCACAACAUAGGGAGCAAAAUAGAGAAAUCACGAGACAGCUUUCGACGUCGCGACAUAGCUUAAAGGUGUCGUGACAUACCCCUAAUGAAAUCUUGAAGAGGAGUAUAUUGACUUCUAUGUCGCAACAUAGGUCCUAAUGUGUCGCGACAUCAACUCGGGAUGAAAAUUAACAUGAGCUAGGGGGUGUUUUGGUCCGCACAAUCAAACUUAAAGCUCAGGAACGUCAACUAACCUAGGGUUAAUGACAAAGGCUACCUAAAAUCUAUAAAAAGAUUCAUUUGUCACACAUUAUGGACAUCAAUUACUUAACUCAGAAUUUCUCUUUUAAAUUCAAUUUAGUUUUUUUUUCUUAGGUUUUAAAUUUACUUUCAGUUUGUUCUCUUUUUAUCUCAAGAGAUCUAAUUUGUGGAGACAAUCAAACUUUGUUGAUUUACGUUUAUUCUUAAUACAAAUCAUGUUUUUUCUUAAACUCUAUACUUUCGAUUCAUUUAUCAUGUUUACUCUUUAUAUCAACUCUAUAUUGUUUAUGAAAAUCGUGAGGAACUAAUCCGUCUAUGGAAAAUUAGUGAGUGGAGGUAUGAUCUAUUAACUAUUUUAUAGGGUUACUCAACGGAUCAACUAUUUAGGAAAGGAAGAACCUAAACCUUAUGCUUGACAACCCUAGGAAGUCAUUAAGGUGGGAAUUAACCAAAAACUGGUAUGGCCAUUCCAUGAACACCUUCACGGUAAACCGGUCUGAACUGUGAGGUCGAAAGAUAAGUAGUCUUUGCUGACUCGUUAUUUUAGUGAAAGAUCGGAAGAUUUUGCUGGGAUAACGACUAGUUGAUUGACGAAGAACCCGAAGCGACAGUUGAUGAAGAUUACCGAAGCGAGCUAAUCACCCAUAACUAGAUUUGAUUAAUUCUACUUUUCAAUAUCUUGAUAUUUAUUUUAUUUUAUUAUUAUAAAAAUAUUAAAAACUCUUUUUAUUUAUAUUUUCGUACUGUAACUUAUUUCGAGUACUAAUUAGAUCUUUUGAUGUUUAAGUUAAAAUUGAUCUAGCACUAGCCUUCCUUGGGUAUGAUCCUCAAAGUACUUACCUAUUUUUUUGUAACUAUAUUAAAACUGGACCAGUAUACUUGUGGAUACUGCCUCACAUAUAUAUAUAUUUUAAUACAAUAUUCACACUCUGGAUGUUAGUACAUAUGGAGGCCGCCAAAUUGUUGGCGUCAUUGCCGGGGAGGCAACGUAACUAGUUUGAUUUUAACUUUCGUAUUUUAGUAAGAAUAAUUAGGAAAUUUUUAGGUUAUAGAUAUUAUUCUUGAUUUAUUUUGUUUUAAUAAUUAACAUUACUGAUAUUUGUUUUUUUAAGAGGACCUUAGUGCAUAUUCUUAAUACAAACUGCCGCCACAGUAACUAUAGGAGACCAGUCAAUAGGAGUAUGAUAAUUUUGAUUAGAUGUGGUCAGACGAAGGCUUAGAUUAUGAUACUGAUAUUUACGAAGAAAUGGCCUAUGAGGACUGAGAGAUAUAGGAGAACCACGACUAUUGAUGCUUGAAUUAAGUCAACUCCAAGGAGAAUCCUUAACUCCUUUUUAAGAUGAUAAUAACAACAUCGAUACACCCUUAGAAAAGCAUCAAGAGGAGUCAAGCCAAGAGUGGAGCAAGGAAGAUAAUGCUACUAAAUGUUUGUGAGAGGAGGAAACUUCUAAGCUAUUAUUCAUCCUGAUAGACAAAAGAAUACCAAUAUUAACUGAACGAAAUGACAAUAAGAGAAGUUAUAAAACUAGUCAAGUAAAUGGAAACAAACAAACACAAAAACAUACAUAACACUUCUAAUACACACAAAUUUGGUGAACUUACCAUAUCAAUUUCUAGUGAGCACACCUCACCAUCUUGGCGAACUCACUUGUCGGAUACUCAACCCGACGAACCUACCUGGCUAGCCUACUAACAUGGCAAAACCUUGCUCUGAUACCAAAAAAUGUAACACCCUAAACCCGGUUGAGUAAGUUUGACCCGAAUCUGGCAUGCCAAAUUAGCCACCAGAGUUACUCUCUAUUAACUCCCAACCUAACCUUCAACACAUCACGGAUUCACAACAUGAAAGUUGUGCUAAGUUUUUACACAUUAUAGCAGAAUGUCAUAACAUCAUGCAUAUAAUAUAAAACAUGCGAGCUUACAAAACAAAUAGAGGAAGUGUUUGCAUAUCAAUCUACAACUUCUUUAGGGUUCGCAAACAUCACUAGACAUAAGUUCGCAUACAAUAAUAUAGAUUCGUAUGCUAACAUUCAUUAUAGGUUCGUUAAAUAAACAUACUUCACAAUUAAAGGAAUUGUACAUGCAUAGGUUAUCUUAUUGUAAUAGGGUUUGCAUAAACACAUGGGUUUGCAUAUAUAUGUGGGUUCGCUAAGUAGUAAGGCUAUCGUUAAUAGGGGUAUACAUGUAAUUUUUUAGAGUCACAAACAUACAGAAGUCAUAGAAAAUAGUACUUUAUAAUAAAUCUGACUCGCAUAUUUUGAUAAAACUUAAGGUAAUACAAUGUAACACUCAUGCAUAAAAAAUAUCAACUUUAUUCAAAAUAAAAAGAUAAUUAAAUAUUUUAAGACAUGGUUCGCAAAAGAAAAAUAAAUUUAAAGAAAUUAAAUUAAUAACUAUAGCGAUAAUCAAACAAGUCUAAUAUCAAGUAGAAACUACUUAAAUAAAAUAUCAUCGCUUCUUCCCCAAGUUCAUUGAUAUCUACUCAGGACUUAGCCACGCUCAGACCAUUCUCAUCGCCUCUUGCCAUCCACGACCUACUUGCCAUUCCCAAGUUCACACACAAGUUAUGAACCCUGAGCAUUUCAUACUGAAGCAUGAUAGUUUAGCACACUUAUGACAAUUCUUAACCACUCAUCGAAAAAGCUUGAGAAUUUAAAUGAGUUUAGCUUUGCCUAUAUCCUUCCUGGUAGAUGUUCCAACUGGUUCGCAACUUACAUAAACACACAAAUUACUUAAACAGACAAAGCUUAAAAAAUUCACACAUGCAAGCAAACCUAGCUUUCUAGACAAUCAACCCUAACAGGACAGAAGCUUACCUUGGUUGCUACAAACUUCAUUCAAAAAAAAAAAAAACUUGACAAAAGAAUAUCGAUAAGAAAAUUCUCAUGGAAUAAAGGUCGUAUUUAUAGGCCUAAAUGUCCUAGAAAUCUUAGGAUAUUCUACUCGACUUAAUGAAAGUGUUAAUUGCACGAAAAAUAUUCCUAGAUACAUCAUAUCUUUAUUACCUAAUUUGAGUUUGACUUUGACUGUUGAACCCCUGGUUCACCAAACAGACUGGCGAACACGACUUUUAUCGAAUUCAGUGAACCUUUUACCACAUCUUUUGGCGUAUAUUGCAACGCUAAAACACUGGCGAACUCCUUAAUGAUACUUUUUCGGCGAACUCUCACUUGAGAGGACAAAACUUUCAGGUCGGGUCCUAGGAUGUUACAAGUCAUAUUUUGCAUCCCUAUACCUUCUACAUGUUUCUCAAAACUCCUAACCACUAGAGUUUUUGAAAACAAAUUUGCAGGAUUAUCCUCAAUUGUGAUUUUAACUAUAUCCACUUAUUUCAUCAACCAUUAACUCUCAAAUAAUAUGAUAUUUCUGAUAAAUGUGUUUCCGCCUUUUAUGAUUUAUUGUUUCUUUAGUAUUUAGCUAUUGUUAUCACACUACAUUAUAAUAUAUUCCUCCAUAUCAAGAAUGACUUUGAGAUCUAUAAGGAACUUCCGAAGCUAGACUACUUCUUUUGUUGCCUCAAAAGCAACCACAUAUUCGACCUCCAUGGUGGAGUCAACAGUACAACCUACUUGACAUUUAUUUACACUACGGACUCGCCGCCUAGGAUGAAGACACAACUUGAUGUUAAUUUUCUUUUGUAUAAACACAUUUAGAAGUUAGAAUCAAUAUUUUUGAUAAGAGUUAAAAUCUCCUUCAGAUUAUGCAAGCAUAUAAUCUCUCGUUCUCUAUAAAUACUUGAGUAUAUUCUUAACUGCUUGCCAAUGUCUUGGACGGAGAUUCACUUGAUAUCGACUUACCGUCCCUAUUUCUUAUGACGUGUGCAUAACAUAGCAUACAUAAAACUUCUUACUACUAAAGCGUAAGAAAUCUUUCUCAUUAUUUUUUUUGUUGUCUUAUGGCAGUCUGAUGCGGAAACCCGGAUCUAGACACAAGAGAAACACAAAUUAGAAAUAAAACGAGAAUAAAUAAAAUUAGUUAAAUAAUAAAUAAAUAAAUAAAUAAAUAAAUAAAAAGGAUAGAUUUGCCCUAUGGAACCCUUGGUUAACUUGUAACCAAAAACGCCAAUGAUUGAGCGGCUCCCUACGAAACCCCUAGAAGAAGAACCUCUAGAAACACCGAUGAACGGGAAAGAAAUUUGAAUAUUUGCAACUCCGAAAUACCCUCGAAAAGUAACAAACUCCAAACUAAAUAGCAAGAGAAGAAUCACUCUACUCUAAAAAAUUUGCCUCACACAAAUUUGAAAGAAAACAAAUACUCUUCUUUUUUUUUAUCUCUCUCAAUGUGUAGAAAACAAGCCUAUUUAUAGGCAAAUUACAAGAGUAAUUGAAUCCUAAUAAAACUCUUUCAAGAGUAAUUGAAUCCUAAUAAAAACUCUUUCAAGAGUAAUUGAAUCCUAAUAAAACUCUUUAAAAUUAUCUAAGAAAAUAAAUAAAUAAUAACCUAACCAAUAAAAUUACUUAACUCAUAAAUGAUGUGUCCCAACCAAUGAGAAUUAAGUAAAUAAUAAUAAAAAUAAUAUACAUAAAAGAUUAAUCCACCAAUUUAUGGGCUUUCACUAUUCCAAGAUUGGUCCAGUGAAUUGCAUUCUCGUAUUUGUCAAUGUCACGAACAUGAUGAAUUAAAUUUGUAGCAACAAAGUCUUGGACAAAAGCAUUCAUCUUUAAUUUUAAUUGUCGUGCCUUGCUUCGAGUAAUUGGACCACUAGGAAAAACAACCCCUUGAGUGUCACCUCCUUGGCUCGUAUCAUUCUCCCCCUCUUCAAGAAGAUUCGUCCUCGAAUCUGAACCUGCAUCAAAUUCAAAAGGAGAAAGAUCAGAAACAUUGAAAGUAGCACUAACACUAUACUCACCAGGAAGAUCAAUGCGAUAAGCAUUGUCAUUUAUUUUCUCGAGUACUUGGAAUGGUCCAUCUCCUUGUGCAUCAAGUUUAUUCUUUCUCUUAGAAGGAAAUCGUUCCUUCCUCAUAUGCACCCAUACCCAAUCUCCAGGUUCAAACAAGACUUGCUUUCGCCCUUUAUUAGCUCGAUGUGCAUUGGACUCAUUCUUUUUCUCAAUGGCUUUACGAGCCUUCUCAUGGAUCUCUUUCACUAAAUCAGCUUUCCUUUCACCAUCUAAAUUAGCAAUCUCAUUCAAAGGUAAAGGAAGCAAAUCUAAAACAGUAAGUGGAUUAAAGCCAUAUACAAUCUCAAAAGGAGUAAAACCUGUGGAAGAAUGAACAGAACGAUUAUAAGCAAACUCAACAUAGGGUAUUCAUUCUUCUCAAGAUUUAACAUUCUUACCUAUUAUGGCUCUAAGCAAAGAUCCCAAAACUCGAUUUACCACCUCGGUUUGACCAUCAGUUUGAGGGUGGCAUGUAGUAGAGUAAAGUAGUUUAGUACCUAACUUGCCCCAUAACACCUUCCAAAAGUGACUAAGAAAUUUUGCAUCUCUAUCGGAAACGAUAGUCCUAGGGAUUCCAUGUAAUCUCACAACUUCACGAAAAAAUAGAUCGGCAACAUGGGUUGCAUCAUCAGUCUUAUGGCAUGGAAUGAAAUGAUCCAUUUUAGAAAAUCGAUCCACAACCACAAAGAUGCUAUCUCGUCCACGCUUUGUCCUUGGUAAACCUAUUACAAAAUCCAUUGAAAUGUUAGUCCAAGGUGAACUAGGAACAGGAAGAGGAGUAUAUAGACCAUGAGGCAUCACAGUGGAUUUAGCUUGUUUACAAGUAAUGCAAGUAGAGCAAAUUUUUUCAACAAGUUUUCGCAUGUUAGGCCAAUAAAAAUGCUCAUGUAAAACAUCAUAAGUCUUAGUGACUCCAAAAUGACCCAUAAGACCACCACUAUGAGCCUCUCAAACCAACAAUUCUCGCAUUGAACACUUUGGUAAGCAUAGUCUAUUAUUUCAAAAAAGAUAGCCAUCAUGCUUAUAAAAUUUGUGAAAUGCACCAUGUUCACAUGCGUCAUAAAUGCUUGCAAAAUCAGAAUCAGUUGCAUAUAAAUCUUUAAGAUACUCAAAACCUAAUAACUUAGUAUGCAAAGUACUAAGUAAAGUGUACCUCCUUGAUAGAGCAUCAGCCACAAUAUUAUCUUUACCUUUCUUAUACCUUAUAACAUAAGGAAAAGAUUCAAUAAAUUCAACCCACCUCGCAUGUCGCUUGUUCAACUUACCUUGUCCCUUUAAGUGCUUAAGUGAUUCAUGGUCAGUGUGAAUCACAAACUCCUUUGGUAAAAGGUAAUGUUGCCAAACUUCUAAUGCCCUUACCAAGGCAUACAACUCUUUAUCAUAGGUCGAAUAGUUCAAAUGUGCUCCACUAAGUUUCUCACUAAAGUAGGCUAGUGGUUUACUAUCUUGCAUGAGGACGGCACCUAUACCUACACCAGAAGCAUCACAUUCAACCUCAAAGGUCUUUUCAAAAUUAGGUAAAACAAGAAUAGGAGCAUUACACAAUUUAUCUUUAAGUUCAUUAAAUGUUAAUUCUUGCUUAUCUGUCCAAUGAAAAGAUACAUCCUUUUUAAUAAGUGCAGUCAAAGGUGAAGCAAUUGUGGAAAAGUUACGAACAAACCUGCGGUAGAAACCGGCUAACCCAAGGAAAGACCUUACCUCAAAAAUAGUUUUAGGGAUAGGCCAUUCUUGAAUUGCCUUUACCUUCUCCUCAUCCACAUGGAUUCCUGUAGAACUUAUCACAAAACCCAAAAAAAUAAGCUUAUCCAUACAAAAGGUGCAUUUUUCAAGAUUAGCAAAGAGUCGUUCAUGCCUUAACAUAUCCAAUACUAAUUUAACAUGCCCAACAUGAUCAUUCAAAGUUUUGCUAUAAAUCAGUAUGUCAUCAAAAUACACAACGACAAAUUUUCCUAAAAAAGGUCUAAGUAUGUGGUUCAUUAAUCUCAUGAAUGUGCUAGGAGCAUUAGUUAAGCCAAAUGACAUAACCAACCACUCAUAUAGGCCAUACUUAGUCUUAAAAGUAGUUUUCCAUUCAUCACCUUGUUUCAUUCUUAUUUGAUGGUAACCAUUUUUUAAGUCAAUUUUAGAGAAAAUGCAUGCACCAUUAAGCUCAUCCAACAUAUCAUCUAAUCGAAGAAUUGGAUAUCGAUACUUUACCGUAAUCUUGUUGACAGCACGACAAUCAACACACAUUCUCCAAGAACCAUCUUUUUUGGGACGAGAAGUACAGGGACCGCACAAGGGCUUAGACUCUCACGAAUUAACCCUUUCUCUAAGAGAUCUUCAACUUGCCUUUGUAACUCCUUAGUUUCUUCAGGAUUUCUUCGAUAGACUGGUCUAUUCAGAAUACUCGAACCAGGCACAAAGUUAAUUUGAUGUUCAAUCCCUCGUAAAGGAGGUAAUCCCUUAGGCAUUUCAGAAGGAAAUACAUCCUCAAAAUCCUGCAAAAGAUCAACAAAACAACUAGGCAAAUGUGUAUUAGGGUUAGUCAAAAUAAAGUUUUCCCUAAACCUAAUAAUUACAAAUGUUUAUUUUGUACAAAGAGCAAAUUUGAUAUCUCGAAACCUAGCGAAUAAACUCACUUUCUCAUCUCGUGACUUGUGUGUGCAAUCACUCACCAAUGUUGGGCCUUUAAGUUGGCUUUUAACACUAAGGGCCUCUUUACUCUCAGCCUUUUUCAAUGAUUUUACCUCACUUCCCUUACCCAUCUCACUAGCAAGUUUAAGUUGAUCAUUGUAGACUUCUUAAGGAGGAAGUGGAGCCAAAGUAAACUUCUUUCCAAGGAACACAAAAGUAUAUUGGUUAAGGAAACCAUCAUGAUUUACUCGUCGAUCAAACUGCCAUGGCCGUCCAAGUAAUAUGUGCCCAGCUUGCAUUGGAACAACAUCACACAAAACUUUAUCAGAGUAUCUACCAAUAGAAAAUGAAACUAAGCAUUGUUUAGAUACUUUUACCUCCCUACUAUCAUUCAGCCAUUGUAAGCGGUAUGGCCUUGGAUGCUUCACACAAGGUAGGCCAAGUUUCUCAACAAGGGAAGAACUCACCACAUUGGUGCAACUUCCACUAUCGAUGAUCAAUGAACUAAGUUGUCCACCAAUCAAACAUCUCGUGUGGAAAAUGUUAUCUCUUUGUUCGCGCACUUCCUCUUUAAACUGGACAUUUAAAGCCCUUCGAGCAACAAGUGCUUUCUCAUCAUACUUCAAGUACUCUUCAUACUCAUCAUGAUCAUGCACAUCAUCAGCAUCUUCCAAAGGAGGCAUAUCAUCUUGAGUUGUAAGUUUUAUAUCAAGAUACUCCCUUUGCUCUUGUAACAUUUGGGUCAUGCGAUGCUCGAGUUGAGUUUGCAACUUUUUCAUCUCUUUUUGUAACAACUCAACCAAAGGAUCGUUCUCUCUUUUUUGCUCAUCCUCUUCAUUUUUACUAGUUUGGGAUCUAGCGAGCGGCAUGGUAUCUGUGAAAGAUCAAACAAAUAGGAACAAGAAAGAAAAAAUAAUAAUAACCUCACUCGUUAGCUCUCAAAAGAAUAAUUCUCUGAAUGAUUCAAAACUUGUAAAUAUGUUUGGAGAGGGUUACUAAUCAAGAUCAAAUAAUAGAGGUGCAAACUUCAAAGAAACAAUGAAGAUCCUAAUUGCUUUAAGAGGCCAAUAAACUUGACGAGGUAAUUUGUAAUGGAGGCUACACGGAUGAAAGAAUUGUGCGUGCCUUUAAUAUCUGCUAACACAAGAAAAAACAAAGUGUUAGAAAACGUAAGAGAAACAAAAAAAAAACGUAGACCUGCAACGAUCCCUAACUCUAGAGUCAAAGAAAAGCUUUAAUAAGAAGAAAACUUAAGAAAACUCUACCCAAUUUAAAGGAAAACAAAAAUCGGAAACGUUUGGUGUCUUAAGAUUUUCAAAAAUUGAAGCUUUAAUUAUACUUGAGUCAAGAAAAGAAGGGGAAAAAAAUUCAAUUUUGGGAAAAAAUAAAAUAAAAAGAAUAACGAUAAUAGGAAAAGAAGAAACCUACGUAUGAAAGGUAAGCAACUUUUUUUUUUGCGCUUUUUUGCUUUUUGCUUUUUUUUUGUGCUUUUUACUCUUUUUUUGCACUUUUUACUCUUUUUUUUUCGUUUUUUUUGCUUUUUUUGUUUUUUUUGUUGGCUUUGUUGUUUUUUUUGCUUUUAUUUAAAGAAUAAGAGGAGAAUAAACACAAACUUUUUUAAAAAAAAUCGACGAAACCGAUGAAAAGUGUUUUUGGUAUUUUGACUCGUUUCGGAUUUGAUUUUAGCUUCGAAAAUAACACCGAAUGGCCUGAAACUGAUACCAACUGAUGCGGAAACCCGAAUCUAGACACAAGAGAAACACAAAUUAGAAAUAAAACGAGAAUAAAUAAAAUUAGUUAAAUAAUAAAUAAAUAAAUAAAUAAAAAGGAUAGAUUUGCCCUAUGGAACCCUUGGUUAACUUGUAACCAAAAACGCCAAUGAUUGAGCGGCUCCCUACGAAACCCCUAGAAGAAGAACCUCUAGAAACACCGAUGAACGGGAAAGAAAUUUGAAUAUUUGCAACUUCGAAAUACCCUCGAAAAGUAACAAACUCCAAACUAAAUAGCAAGAGAAGAAUCACUCUACUCUAAAAAAUUUGCCUCACACAAAUUUGAAAGAAAACAAAUACUCUUCUUUUUUUUUAUCUCUCUCAAUGUGUAGAAAACAAGCCUAUUUAUAGGCAAAUUACAAGAGUAAUUGAAUCCUAAUAAAACUCUUUCAAGAGUAAUUGAAUCCUAAUAAAAACUCUUUCAAGAGUAAUUGAAUCCUAAUAAAACUCUUUAAAAUUAUCUAAGAAAAUAAAUAAAUAAUAACCUAACCAAUAAAAUUACUUAACUCAUAAAUGAUGUGUCCCAACCAAUGAGAAUUAAGUAAAUAAUAAUAAUAUACAUAAAAGAUUAAUCCACCAAUUUAUGGGCUUUCACUAUUCCAAGAUUGGUCCAGUGAAUUGCAUUCUCGUAUUUGUCAAUGUCACGAACAUGAUGAAUUAAAUUUGUAGCAACAAAGUCUUGGACAAAAGCAUUCAUCUUUAAUUUUAAUUGUCGUGCUUUGCUUCGAGUAAUUGGACCAUUAGGAAAAACAACCCCUUAAGUGUCACCUCCUUGGCUCGUAUCACAGUCCUCCAAAGAAAAAUGAAAUCCCAAAAUAGAAGGUUGCGAUCCCUUCUUUGAGUUGGUCAUUGCAAAAUGUUCCAAUAUUUUAUUUAGGUAUGAAGCUUGUGAUAAAGCUAUCACUUUGUUCUUUUAAUCCCUCAAGAUUUGAAUUCCCAUAACAUAAUUAGCUUCACCCAAAUCCUUUAUGCUAAAUUGUUGGGUUAAUCAUAAUUUAACGGAUAAUAAUAUCCCUACAUCAUUCCCAAUGAGUAGAAUGUCAUCAACAUAUAAGACUAAGAAGAUCACCUUUCCAUCCACUAUAUGUUUAAAAACACAAUGUUCAUCAACGUUUUGCUCAAAUCUAAAAAUUUUGAUUGCUUGAUUAAAUAUUUGGCUCCAUGAGCAAGAUGCUUGCUUAAGUUUAUCUAUUGAUCUUAGCAACUUGCAAAAUUAAUGCUCGUUGAACAAAAAGACAAUGAUUUAGGAGAUCAAAUAUUGGGUUGCUUCAUCGAAAAGGUUGAGGCUUCAAGUCUUAAAGGUUGGGAUUCAAGUCUUUAUCAUUUUCAAUUGUGAUGUUUGGAUUUCAUUUUCACCAUGUAUGUAUACCAUAUAUGGAUUUUAUAUGAUUGUUUUCGAAUUAGUUUAGUAUUAUCUUAUUUUUCGUCCAGUAUGUAUUGUAUAUUAUAAUAAGUGAGACAUAUAUUUAUAUAUGCAUUAUACUUGUAUGUAUAUUAUAUUUGUACAGGUAAUUUAAAAAAAAACAUUAGAUUGUGUAAAACAUUUUUGUUAAUAAAAAGUUGUGAUUCAAAUAAUAAAAACCGAAUGUUUUGCGUCGAUUAGAGUAAUACUUAUGGUUCAAAUUAGGGUUAUUUACCAAUAUAUUUGUUUGUUUCAGCCUUCAGGCCGUUGAAAUGGAUUCAUCGUUCAAUAUUUUUAUGGAUGAAAGAAACGAGCUUGGCUGUUGAUUGAAUGAAAAUUUUGUUUCAAUUUUGAUAUUUUUUUAUUUAAUAUUUUAUUUGAAGGCAUGUGCCUAUUAGUAGAUGCUGUCUUUUCUUUUGUUUAUAUUUUCUCUUCUUGGAUUUUCUGAUGUCAUUUUAAGACAGUUAUUGUAUGACUACUCAAUUGCCAACUAAUAUUUGUAGUUUUCAAUUUUACUGAAGCCUAACAACAUGUGAUUGAUGUGACCAACAAGAAGUUUUGUUGUUUUGAGAGAAGGUGAAACAUUCGACUUUUACUUUUAAGAGAAAAAUGGUUUAGAAAAUGGAAAUGAUUUUGUCUAGAAUUAUAAAUGAACUUAUGAGCUGCAAAUAAAGAUCUAAAAGAACAGACUUACAUUGUUAAAAUAUGGUGUCAGUUUUAAUAAAUGAACUUUUCUAGAAUUUAAAGAUUUAAUUUUUAAUUUUUAAUUUUUUUAAUUUUCAUAUUUUUAAAUGUAAAAGUCUUAAUCUAAUUAUUUUCAUAGGUAGCUUAAAUCAACAUGUUAAAUUAAUACGUUUUGACAAAAAAAAACUUAUAAUUUUAAUUAUUGAACUGAAAUUUUAAAUAAAAACUCAAAUGAUUAAAUGUUUUUUUUUUCAAAUAUGAGGACUAAAUCUUAAUUUUUAUCAAAAUACAAUAACAGCAUAUUUUAAUCUAUGAGGGCUAAAAGUGAACAACUUUAUUUACCAUUUCACGUGAUGUAAAUUUUUAUAUUGUUUUUUUAUUUUUCACUACCCAGUUGGUGUACAGAAGAGUAACAAACAUUAUUUUGCUUUUUUGAUUUGUUAUUUUAUAAGACGAAGAUUUGAUUGUAUUAUAUACCUUCGAACUUUCGAUUUAGUCGAUGAAAACUUAAAUCAAUAGAAAUCUUGUUUGGUUGACAUUUUCAUUUUGAUUUUACUUUCUUGUAAACAAGUAACUAAAGCAAAAUAAAAUACGAUAAGCAAUCACAAAAGUAGCAAAUUACUGUGUUCGUAAACUGCAUAAAGCAAUAGGCUUAAGAUCUCAUAUAUAUAUAUAUAUAUAUAUAUAUAUAUUAUAUUUUCAUUCCAUUUAACGCAUAUUUUUGUCGUGGAACUGGGAACAUGGCUAAUUGAUACUCAGGGGGAAAAACCAAUAUAUAUAUAUUGAAAAGGAAAGAAUCAUACUCGACAGACAACCCAACUAAAGGACGAACAAUUUACAUUUCAAGGCAAUCAUUUUGAUUCUGAUGUUAUGUAUUCGACAUGGUGGACGGUAUUAAUUGAUCACGCGCCGUGUAUGACGGAUCCCAAAUUUCAAAAGAGAUUAUAUUUUAUAAAAAAACUAUAUAGAUUUCAAUUUUAAAAACGAUACCUCAAGAUUCAAAUCUUGAAUAAAUUAUAAAAUAAAUAAAGAAGAGAAAAUCCAAUUAAUAAGUUCAAAAUUGACCCAAUUAGUUGAGUAAACCCAAAGUGAACACCUAAUUAGAUAGAUUAAACAAAUAAUCCUUACGGUUUGCCACGAUGAGAAGGGCAGAUAGGGAGGAAAGGUGGUUGUGUUACGCGAGAAAAUUUCAACAGAAAAUAUAAUUUUGGUCAUAUAAUUCAUUAAAGGUAGCGCAAGAGACAAGCGGUUCUGGGACCAUACGGACCCCCCUUCAUUUACCACCAGUCAAAUCCGCACAUGCAAAAUUCAUAUUCGAUCGAAUAUACUUAUUUAAUAUAUUAAAUUAUAAAAAAAUUUAAUUUUUUGAUUUAUGUUAAAAAUUAUUUAUAGUUUAUGCUGCAUCAGUGAAUAAUAACUUUAUACUUCUUCGUUACAUAAAACAAAAAAUAGUGAAAAGGCUUAUAUAUAAAGUUAUUAAUAUUUAUUUACAAGUCAUUCAUUUUUUUUUGUUUAAUUUAAUGAUGAUUUAUUAUGUUAUUAUUCAAUUGAUGGCAUAUGAGACUCAUCUACCGACUAUACAUAAAAUAUUAUUCCUUAAAUUAUAGUACACUAACGAUGUAAUUGAGAAAAAAUUCGGAAUAAUUAUAUUUAUAAAAAUUAAAGGGAGAAUGCUUGAUGCACCUUUGAUUUAUAGAUCUCAUGCACAAUCAAUUAAUAAUAAGAUGACACAUCAUUAUUGCUGUAAAAAAGAAAAAAAAACACAUAGUGAAUUGUUUAAAAAAUAAAGUUAAUUAUAAUUAUUAAACAUAAAUAAAUACAAAUACAUCAACCUCGAGAUCAGAAACUUGAAAUCAAACAUCCAAUGUUCAAAACCUGAAACUCAAAAGAACAACAAAAAAAAUUAAAAUUUAUAUUUAAUUAUGUUUGAACAAAGUUAAUAUUUUUAUUUUUAUUUUUUAAGUCUUUCAAUAUUUUUUUAUUUUACACUAAGGAUAAUGUGUCAUCUUAUUAUUAACUUAUGGUACAUGAUAUCUAUACACUAAUAAUGCAUUGUAUAUUAAUCCAAAAUUAAACGAUGCUUUGGUUAAAAUGAUAAAAUUUAUAAUGUGUUUAGUUUUACUUUCGGGAUAACAUAAUGUUUGGUUUGAACUUUUUCUAUGUAAUUUUUUUAUUGAUUUAUAAAAAUAUAUAAAAAAUAAAAACACUUAUAGUAAAUAUAUCAUAGCUUAUUUUAUAAAAAAUAAUAGGUUCAUCGGCACCUUGACCUUUACCACAAGGCCGUAGAUUUCUCCCUCGUUCAACUUAGCUUUCUUCGAUAAGUUCAACACGCAGUUCCAUAUUUCUCGUUUGACAUUUCGAAAUUUUGGAUGUUGAAUCUUAUAUAUAAGAGCCUAUCCUAGUGGAUAAAAAUAGGUUUACGUUUGGCCAUAAGCCAUUCCACAUGGAUGCUACAAAAUUUCCAUCCUCAAUUAAUUAAAAACUUAGUCUAUUUGAAGACGACUGGUGCAAUGUAGGACUUGCUUGGCAUGUUUAGUAGCCCAAUUUACUUCUAACCAAGUACAUAAAUGCACAACAUGAAAGCUAUCCAUAUUAUUUGGAUAUCUUGGAAUUUCUCAGAUCAUAUUGAACUGUUGCAAAACUUAAUACGACCGUUGCCACUCAAUGCAAGAGAAGCAUAUAAACGACAUGCACAUGUAAAAACAUAAUUGUACGCAUAUGCCUCCAACAAUAGAUAGUAUGGAAGUAAUUGUUGGAACUUAGUGCCCAUAGUGUGUGAUUUUGUCAAAUAUACUUAUAAUAUUUUGAAUAUAUUAGUUUAACAAAAGUUCAUCAUUUACAUUAAUAUCAUUUGUAUUCGUCCUUAAUGGUUUUUGCAUACAAAGUGAAAUGAAUAAGAAAAUAUUGGCUCACAGAUUACCUGUCAUUUAACUAAUAAUAAGUCACAUUAUGUGAUCGGAUCAUAAUAUGAGAAGACAACUUAUAUUAGUAGGCAACCUAAGACUCCAUACAAAAUGUGGCAUGAUAGGUGUAUUGGUGGUUACAUGCAAGUGUACACGGUCAUACAAGUAAUAAGUAGUAAGUAAAGAGUUAUCGUCUCCAUAAGGAUUGUUGUGUAAAUUAUUUGCAAAGUCAACUAUAAAAUAAUUUGGAAGAAAAUAAGUUAAGUAUUGUUGUUGAGAGUCGAAAAUAAUUUUAUGGAUGUAAUCUGAAUUCAAAUACCCACAAAAUAAAAUAAGACAUUUUGCUGAAAAAUAAUCACAAUAGAAAGAUUGAACACAAGAUUUAAUAAACAUAACAUGAAUAAACUAAAACAAGUAUGUCACUUAACAAGAGUCUAUUGACAUCUAUAAAAAGAAUAUCACAAUAGGAUUGUGGCAAUAUAAAAAUUCAUUAAACCCAAUUUUAAUUAAGGCAUAGGCUUUUCUCAAAGUCAUAUUAUGUCCCUAAGUUAUCUUCGUAUACGCCUAUGUCAAAACUAACCUAGAAAUCACCUUUUCGAGCAUUUUAUACAGUUUAUGCAUACAACAAUCAUCUUUUGAUAUUGACAUGAUAUGCACCAUUUAUUUCUUCUGUCUAUUAACCAUUACCUUUUCUCAUAUUAAAUAGUUAAUUCAUUAACCUAUAGAUGUUGGCUUUACAUUUACAAGUUUUAACAUGAAUUAAACCUAAAUGAAUGAAACAAUCAUUUGCAAAAAAUAUUCACAAUACAAAAACCAAUCAACUCAAGUCGUGAUUCGUAUGUAUUCUGAAUAAACAGAAUUAAAUCAUGCUUUAUUAAAUUGAAAACAUAAAGAUGAGAUGCAAACAUGUCUAUCAACAAAGAAAACUACAACUAACAAUAAAAAGAAAGGGAAGAAGAGUAGUUGAGGGGGGUUAUCCAUGACCAUUUCACUAUAAGAAGAGAAAAAAAUUGAGCUGGAAGGGGUUAUCUAUGAUUGCUCCUUGUCCCUUCCCAUGCUGGGUUUCCUCUUCUUCUUUAUGUUAAACCAUCAAUACAUUUUCAAGCUACUCUCUUCGGUUGCUCUCAUUUUCAGCAAGUGGAUUGCCUUAUUUUGUGGCAAGUAAAAAGUUUAGAAAGACAUAAGGAAACAAGAAUACUUAAUACUUUUUUCUCUCUGAAAACUGGUGUGUUUCUGAAUGAAGUGAAAAGCUUCCUUUUAUAGAAAUUGAGCCCCAACAUCCUUUGCUAUUUUUAUCAAGGGAAUCCUUGAUUUCCUCCCCCAAUAUGCGUCGUCCCUUGAUGUGUGGAUGAGUGGGUGUUGAUAUUUUUAGCAAAAGAAGUUGCUUAUUUUCCUCCUUAUGUGGUCGACCUUUGAAUGGUAAAAAGGGGUUGGUUUUGACUACUAUCUUUAGCAGAGAAGUGGGCGAUUUUGAGGCUUGAAUCAAGGGGGAAAAGGUGUUGAUUUUAUGCGAGGGAAAAUGAGAUCAAAUUGUUAUUUUUUGGAGUUGAAUGGCUGGUUUUUGACUAUUCAUUUUAGCAGUGUAUGUUGCCAUCUUUAAGUCAUGGAAAAGUGGGUAAAUGGGAUGGUUUUGGGCCUCUAUUUAAACAAUUUCAGGCCCCUAUGUAAUUGGGUCUGGAAUGAAGUCACAUUGAAGCUCAGAUGAUUGCAUCUAGAUAUUCCAAUAUGUACCUGUUUAAACCCCAAAACAACCAAAAUUCUGCCAUACUUUCCCUUAGCCCAAUCAUUCCCAAAAAAUAAUAAAAUAACAUAAAUUUCACUCAAUUAACACAUUCUCAUGGAAAUUAUAAAAUACCAUAAAAUUAAAUGUAAAACCACAAAAAGUGUUAUUUAUUUACUCGAAAUUCGCAUAAAUUGUAUAUAAAAGAGUGCUGAAUAUAUAUUAGAGAUUACACACUCCCAAACAUAAAUAAUUGCUCGUCCCGAGUAAUGCUAAAAACAUGUUGUAUAUUGUAGAAUUUAAUUCAUCCAAGUGGUCAUGUAAAAGAGAAAAAUAUACUUUCAAAUUAAUUUUGCAAAUAUGUAGUUCGUAUACAGUAUGUCAUCUAAUAUUUCUUCAAGUAUCAACAUGCUAACAAAAUCAUGAUUUGAACAAUUAAUUUUAUGAGUAGAUUUGAUUCACGUCAAAAGGAUUUUAACUUCUCUAAAUCAACUAAGCAUCACUCUUCAGGUUUAAUAUAUGUCUUCAUAUGUUGAAUUUAAUAUUUUCCUCUCUAGUAAUGUAGGAAACUUAACAGUCUAAAUCAAUAGGUCGUUAUAAAGGUUGUAAUGGGGCUAGGUUCAAGGUAGGGAAAAAGGAUUAACAAUUUAAGUUUAGUAACCUUAAACAUAGCUUACCUUGGCCUUCAAAUAUUGCAACUGCACACUAAAUAACUAACUUUUUUCUUUUCCAAUACAUGUGCCCAAUGUUACUCGCUUUUUUUAAACAUAUGUACAUUUUUUAGCACAAAACUUUAUGUAACUCAUCAUUGAGUGCUUUAUAGUGCACACCCAAUAUCCCUCAUAACUCCCCCAAACUUAAUUUCCAAACACCACCAAAGUAAGCAAGGUUAAGAUGAGGUGGUUCAAUAAGUCGAGAAAAAUAGUUUUUAGGAAGAGUUACUCGAUUUAUGGGUUUAAACAAAAAUAUAAGCUAUACAGCUUAAAUUGGGUUACAAGGGAUAAUGAUUAAUAGGGUAGGCUUGAAAGGCUCAAUCAAUCCAAAGAAAUUAUGCCUAAAUCAUUUUUAUACAGCUAUGCUACCUAGUAUUUUGUCUCAAGGAAAUUACCAAACCAAUUAUAAGGACUAAACCCUCAUGCAUGCUUAACUUUUUUCCAAGGAAGAAAAAUAUUUUAUGGCAAAUCUAUACAUGCUUACUAAAAUCAACAUUCAUUUCAUAAUUUAUUUAACAUAAAAAUAGUUGAAGUAAAUAAAAGAUCACACCUGAAUCUACACUAACAUACCAUACAAAAUUAAUUAGUGUUGAACAUCUUUUCUGCCUACAUGCCUUCAUGUAAGAAUCAUCUUCUACAAAAAAAAACAUUGAGGCAAAAAAUUGAAAAAAAUUGAGCACGGUCCCCCCAAAAUUAAGCAAAUAAAUACCCUCAUUGUUCAAAACAUUCAUUAGAGGAAAAUAAUAAGAGAAAAUCUCAAAAAGUAUAUUAAAGCCGAUCUUGAGUGCAAUCGAAGUUUAUUUUCAAAAACACAAUAUAAAAUGAAAUAACAAUAAAAAUAGAAAUAAUGUUUAAAAAAUAAAAAUAGCUAACUAAAAAUUCUUUAAAUAAAGAAAAACGAUAACAUCUAUCUUCGCAUUAUCAACUUAUAUUCCUUGUCUCAUGAUUAUGUGUCCCAAAAUGAUGCCCUCUCUUACCAUGAAAUGUCAUUUCUUUCAGUUGAGGAAGAGGCUUGUCUCUUCACAUCGUUUGAGCACUUUGGCCAAAUCAUCUAAAAAAUAGUUAGUAGACUGCCCUGGAUGUUGCAACAUUCAAAGAGAAUGUUGCAACAUUGAAGCAAGCCUCGACACUUAACUGAAGUUCCAACACAAAUCCAAGAGGUGAGCUAUUGAAGACAAUAUCGUUAACCAGUAAGCCAUAGUCAUGACAUUCAAACUAGAUUCCUAAGGGGAGGAUAAUGCCAACAAUGUUGCGAGAAAAAGAAGCCAAUGCACAACAUUCCAUCCAAUCCCAAAGACAUAGCAUUAUGCCAUCGAAGUCAUAACACUAAUUUGACGAGGCCCAUGUAACUACAAGGGUUUUUUUUACAAUUUUAAUUAGCCUGUUACACAGUUUGUAAUUGACCUAAUUUGGUCAUACUACACAAACACUAUAAAUAUUAGCUCAUAAGACUUGGUUAGGAAGCUACUUUCUGUUAUUAAAUUUAUUUUCUUAGGAUUAAUUAGUGUUUUAGGGAGAUUUGAAUUUCCAUUCAGUUGUUAAACAUAUAGUCAAUUUCAAUAUCAAUUUCAUUUAUGUUUUCUUUUAAUUACUUUUCUGUUAUUUUCUUCUUCACCAAAUCAAAGAUCAACUCCAUUGCAAGUUUAACAAUCCAAGUUGUGAUUCAAGAUUUUUGGAUUAUGAGGAUUCUUUCCCCUUCUUUUUAUUUUUACAUUUAUUUGAAUGUUUGAUAAUUGGGUAGGACAUAUUGCAUCUACAGUGGCCAUGAUCUAAAACCCUAGGAAGGUUGAUGAGUUGAAGUGGGAGUAUUGGCUUAGGGUUGGGGUUUCAAUACUAGUUAGCUGGAAUAGCUUAAGUGAAUUAAACCUUAUAAUUGACAACUCUAGGAAGUAACUUAGAUAGAUGAGGAUGAAAUGAUAGUCUUCUUAGCACCACCUUAAUCUAACUCGGUUUACUCUAUUAGGUUGAAAGAUAAGUAAAUUAAGUUGAUCAAUUAAUCUUGUUAUAGGUCGAAAGGUAUUAAUUAGGUUAAUUGUUAGCUAAUUAGUAAAAAACCUGGAUCUAAGUUAAUCACGAACAUGGAAGUGAGUCACUGUUCUGUCUACGUAUAUUGAUUGUGAUUUUGGUAUUUAUCUUUUAUAUACUUUAGUUCUUUUUUUUUGAUUAAUCUCUUCAUUAUUCUGUCAUAUUAUGAUUAGUAUGUAAGUAGUUAUUUAGACCUAGGUAGUGUGUUAUUUCUUCUAAUAAUUUAGUUUAAACAAACUUCCCUUAGGUAUGAUCCUCAAAAUACUUCUUAGUGGUUCAUUGUAAACUUUACUAUAUUAAAAUUUGUCUUGCAAACUUGUAGACACCACAGUUCAGAUAUAUAUUCAAUUGCAUUUUCUUAAGCCCCGACACAUGCACGCUAGCGCGUAGUUAGAAAUUUCACAAACAAUUGAAAAAUUAUGCACUUAUCAGUCAGUCCCAAUGAGUAGUAUGUCAUCAACAUAAAGAAAUAGAAAGACCGCAUUCCCAUCCACAAUCUUGUUUAUAAACAAAAGAUUCAUAAACAUUUUUCUCAAAUCCAAAAGUUUUGACCGCUUGGUCAAAUCCUUGAUUUAGUGAUCAGGAUUCCUAAUUAAGUUUGUAUAUAGACCUUAACAAUUUGCAAACUUUAUGCUCUUUUCCUUUAGCUAUAUAUCCACUGAGUUGCAUUAUAUAAUCGCUUUCAUCAAGAUAGCAUUCAGAAAUGAUGUCUUGACAUCCAUUUGCUAGAUCUAAUAUUCAAGAGUCACUGCAAUGGAUAAUAUAAUUUAGAUUAACUUGAACAUCACUUCUGGAGAGAGGGUUUCUUCGUAACCGAUAUUAUCUUCAUAUGUGUAUCCCUUUGCCACAAGUCUGGCGUUGUAAGUACCAACCUUUCCUUACGCAAUUCUCUUCUUCUUGUAGAUCCACUUACAUCCUAUGGGUUUAUCCCGUCUCGUAAGUCUUCAAAUUCCAAUAUUGGAUUGGAUUUCAUACAAUCCAUCUUAGCAUCCAAAGCUACUUCUACAGCUUCGAGUAAAUACUCUACAUCACUUUGUGAAAUGUAAGUGGAUCAUCAUCUUCCUAUUCGUAAACUCCAUGUUAAAAAAAACUUCCAUAAGACUAAAAGCAAUCAGGCCUAUUAGAGACUCUUCUUUUACGAUGAAGCUCCCUAUGUUGUUGAUCAUUUGCUACCCUACUAUUUGGAAUAGAAUCUAAGAUCGAAACUAGAGGGCUUUCUUUAUUUCCUAAAACUUCCUUUAGUAACAAUCUACUUCAAGGUUUAAAUUCAUUCAUGUAACUUUCCUCUAGAAAAGUAGCAUGCAUCGAGACCUUAAUCGUUUGGUCUUUCAGAUUAUAAAAAAA
rnacentral:lncRNA from 1 species